rnacentral:rRNA from 1 species
AUUGAACGCUGGCGGCAGGCCUAACACAUGCAAGUCGAGCGGAGCGGCGGACGGGUGAGUAAUUCCUAGGAAUCUGCCUGGUAGUGGGGGAUAACGUCCGGCAACGGGCGCUAAUACCGCAUACUAUCAGAUGAGCCUAGGUCGGAUGAGCUAGUUGGUGGGGUAAAGGCCUACCAAGGCGACGAUCCGUAACUGGUCUGAGGGGAUGAUCAGUCACAGGGGAACUGAGAAACGGGCCAGACUCCAACGGGAGGCAGCAGUGGGGAAUGUGGGACAAUGGGCGAAAGGCUGAUCCAGCCAUGCCGCGUGUGUGAAGAAGGUCUUCGGAUUGUAAAGCACUUGAAGUUGGGAGGCGGUACCAACAGAAUAAGCACCGGCUAACUUCGUGCCAGCAGCCGCGGUAAUUC